GAAGAAGCAAAGUGAUGAGUAAUACUCGCAUGAGCCAAAGUGAGUGAGCUGUGUGCGUGUGCAGUUGUGCGACAGGCCUGUUUGUGAGAGUUGUGUGCCUUACAAUUGGGCGGUGAUAGCUAAACUGAUAAGAUCUGAUUGCUUC
rnacentral:snoRNA from 1 species